rnacentral:misc_RNA from 1 species
GAUAUCCUCGAGCGGAACUGAGAGCUCCGCGGAGAAGUCUGAAGCUGAAUUGCUGUAACUGCCGGAGAAAAAUGGGUCAGAAUCAGGCAAGGGAUCGUUCCAAAUGCUUGGAAAAUCAUUACAAUCAACAGCGUCAACGCCACCACACACAUUCUCUGGGGAAAACUCAAUCAAAUCUUCCAUAUGAUCAAAGAAGCUGCUACAAUCUAUCUCAUCAACGAAAUCCGAACCCAUGCUAAAUACUCUUCUUUUUUAUACUAAACUAAACCUUCUACCUCUUAAGUAAUGCAGAAAAAAAAGUUGGUCAAAUUCUCCAAAUUUGUC